rnacentral:rRNA from 1 species
UGGGGAGUCUUGGACAAUGGGCGCAAGCCUGAUCCAGCCAUGCCGCGUGAGUGAUGAAGGCCCUAGGGUCGUAAAGCUCUUUCAUCGGUGAAGAUAAUGACGGUAGCCGAAGAAGAAACCCCGGCUAACUCCGUGCCAGCAGCCGCGGUAAUACGGAGGGGGUUAGCGUUGUUCGGAAUUACUGGGCGUAAAGCGCGCGUAGGCGGAUUAGAAAGUUGGGGGUGAAAUCCCAGGGCUCAACCCUGGAACUGCCUCCAAAGCUACUAGUCUAGAGUUCGAGAGAGGUGAGUGGAACUCCGAGUGUAGAGGUGAAAUUCGUAGAUAUUCGGAAGAACACCAGUGGCGAAGGCGGCUCACUGGCUCGAUACUGACGCUGAGGUGCGAAAGUGUGGGGAGCAAACAGGAUUAGAUACCCGCGUAGUCC